UACGGGGGGGGCAAGCGUUGUUCGGAAUUACUGGGCGUAAAGGGCUCGUAGGUGGCCAACUAAGUCAGACGUGAAAUCCCUCGGCUUAACCGGGGAACUGCGUCUGAUACUGGAUGGCUUGAGUUUGGGAGAGGGACGCGGAAUUCCAGGUGUAGCGGUGAAAUUCGUAGAUAUUGGGAAGAACACCGGUGGCGAAGGCGGCGCUCUGGACCGAGACUGACGCUGAGGCGCGAAAGUGUGGGGAGCGAACAGG
rnacentral:rRNA from 1 species